AUUGUACUCCCAUUUUUUCUCCAAUAUCAGGUAGUAUUAUGCCGUGGUGACAGGGGGCGUGGAGGUAUCCCGCCGCUGUCACCGAGGCGUCCUGCUGCCACCGUCUUGUUAUGCCGUAAGGGGGGGGAUCAGGUAAAUUUACAAUCACUGACGUAUCUGCCGCCUUGGCUUGAGUUUGCAAUUCUCCUGAAGGAUUCAGGAGAUGCAGGAGCAUUCAGGGAGGAUGGUAACACUUGAGGGAAGGCUAAGUUCAAUUAACAUCACAGCGCAUUUCUAUCCUACUCUAUUCACCUAUGUCGCUAUAUACAUAAUAUAUACACACUUUGCCGACGUUUGCCGGUUCGCAUUACAUGAGGGUUAUUAUCCUGUAGUACACCUUAGUUCUACUCCUGUCACCCUGCUAUUGGGUAUCCUAUACCUCUGUCUCUCUUUCUCUGUAAACCUAGUCCAUCUAGUUUUCACUUUCUCUCCCUGGGGUUUGCACUUUAAUAUUAUCACACUUAAGGUUCAUGGCUUAUAUGAAGUAAGUACACUUACUUGAGCUGAUGAGACAGGCGCUCGCCACCAACCAGUAUCUACUCAUCACCAUCUUUCUCUCGGCGAUAGCCUACGGCCGCACUCUAAUGACAAUUAAUAAUCUUUUUUUGAUCGCUUCCUCUAGAGUUCAUGUACCCUCUUUUUGCUGACUCGCUGGGUUCCGGGGGUGUAUUCACCCACCCAUCCUGACAUGAUUUGGGGUCGGUGUGGCCCAUUCAUUGGCUGUUUAUCCAAAGAGACCUUGUGAGAACUUGGAUAUUGCUUCAUUGUUAACUUUUUAAGGUUUUUCCAGUAGUUCUCAUUGUUGAACCUGUGGAGUAGUACAACUUGAUGUUACUUUUAUAAGAAAUUUCUUGUAACUUCAAUAAUCUGUUAUUUAGAAUUCUGGAGUUGAACUUGUAAAAUGUGGUACUUUAUGUAUUGAUUGAAGGAGGUUGAAUGUGCAGAAUAAGUUGUACAAAACUGACAUUUGUAAUAAUAAUAUUAGUUGGCCAUAGAUA